AGUGAACGCUGGCGGUAGGCCUAACACAUGCAAGUCGAACGGCAGCACAGUAAGAGCUUGCUCUUACGGGUGGCGAGUGGCGGACGGGUGAGGAAUACAUCGGAAUCUACUUUUUCGUGGGGGAUAACGUAGGGAAACUUACGCUAAUACCGCAUACGACCUACGGGUGAAAGCAGGGGAUCUUCGGCCCUUGCGCGAUUGAAUGAGCCGAUGUCGGAUUAGCUAGUUGGCGGGGUAAAGGCCCACCAAGGCGACGAUCCGUAGCUGGUCUGAGAGGAUGAUGAGUCACACGGGAACUGAAGAACGGUCAAGGAGCCUACGGGAGGCAGCAGUGGGGAAUGUGGGAGAAGUGGCGAAAGCGUGAUCAAGCCAUGCGUGGGGUGAGAAGAAGGUCUUAGGAUUGUAAAGCACUUUAAUGUGGGAGGAAAAGCAGUAAGUUAAUACCUUGCUGGUGUGACGUUACCAACAGAAUAAGCACCGGAUAACUUCGUG
rnacentral:rRNA from 1 species